UCAUAUUGUUCUGCCCGUUCGAUAUCAUUUUCCGAUCAAAUCGCUUCUUUUUUCUUCGUUGUAUGUUUCACUGUAUUUGCGCUCCUCUGUACAAGGUGACACUUCCUGAUUUUUUCUUGGCGGACCAAUUAACAAGCCAGGUGCAAGGAUUUAGAAGUCUGGAAUUCUACAUUUGCUACUAUGGUUGGGGAGACUAUAAGAACAGAGAAACUACUUGC